rnacentral:lncRNA from 12 species
CUUUUCCCAGCCUCUCCCAGGUCCCAAGGUUUGAGUGAAGCCUGUGCUCCGGAUGCCUCUGGUUUGUACAGACAAUUGCUUAACUGCCAUUUAAGAGAAUUGAUGCAACCGACCUUUAAACACACGUUGGUUACCCUGACAUCUGAAAAGAGAAAAUAGACUUCCUUCCGUGAGUGGGAAAUUCUUCUCACAACAAUUACUCCAAGAAGGGAGCACAGGCAGGUGGGCCUCAGCCACAGGCCCCAGGAACCUGACGGGUUCUGCGGAUUGUCUUACUCUGGAGGCUGGUCAGAGUUUUGGGGUAAUUCCCAAGAGUCCUUAGGGCUCGCCGGCCUUGAGUCAAAAUUCCUUUCCAGAAGAGAAAGGGACCAGAGAUCCCUAAAUGAUUUGCCCUUUUAUAGGUUUUUGAGUCAUCCCCAGGCAUCAGCUCCUGCCCUCUGGAGGCAGGUAGCAUCUGCUCCCCUCUUCCCUGGGCUGGGUGAUGGCAGGAGUAUUUUCUCAUUGACAGUGUUGGAAUUAAUUAAUUAUGGAUUUUUGGUUCUCAACAGGUCACGCUCCCCUGGGGUUCAUACCCAUGAAGACCCUUCUCAACCCCCCACUCUAGCCCAUGUUUGCCGGCCUCCAUGGGUCAACUAGACCAAACAGGGUCAGACCACGCUGCUGUUCCAUUUCCGAGGAAAUUCUCUGUGUGCAUCAUCACAUGCCCAGUAAUUCUGAUGACUCAGGUCUCAGGUCAAAUGUCACCUUCCCAGGGGGCCCCUCCCAGCAACCUUCCCUAAGGUGACCUGGUUCUCUUUCCCAGGCUCUCUGUGGCAUGCCACCCUGCUUUAUAUUCUAAGUGCUUAUUUCUUUAACCCAGGCCACCAUACUGACAGAGUCCUGGCACUCUGAGCUCUGUGGGUCUUGACCAGAGCCCUGUGCAUGGAGCAGCGGAGGGCUCAUGGCAGACUCACAAAGAAGAUGUUCUUAUGACACACCAAGGAAUGACACGGAGGCCAGCAACAGGGUCUGGAGUGUCCCAGAGCCCCUCUUCUCUCCUCCACAGCCUUUUCCCUGCCUUAGUCCUAAUCCCCAAAUUGUCCUUCUUCUUCCUCCUCCCUCUUGUUGUCAGAGUGGAAAGCACGAAGCCCUUAGAGCCACCCCUCCUGGGUGUAACCCCACUGCUGCUUUCUGGCUGUGAGCUUUUCUGUCAGCUAUGCAACACUGGAAACAUACGGACAAGAAUGGGACUAUCUGGAGGAUUAAAUGACAUAACUCUAUGGCUGUUACUUCAACUGCAAUUUGGUGUCUUCAAGCAUUGGGAAGGGGAAAGACAUAUAUAAUUAGAAAAGCAAAUAAUGAUACAAAGGCCCUAUUACUGAGGUUUUCUGGAUGACUGUCCCAGUCAGAAAAACAAUAGCACUCCGAGGACGGAAAUGAGCCCACAUGUUGAAGAAUGGAGACAAGGAACUGAAAUCAUGGAGCAGGGCAAAGCCAACUCAAACAGCAGGACUUUAGGUCUUGCUUAGAUGAAAGAGUAAGGCAGUCAGAUGGGACCGAAGCCAGGAGUACCAUUUCUGGUGACUCUCAGAAGCCUCCACUUCCCCAACACACUUAAUCUGCUGAGUCUACAAAGCUGAUGUGUGGCCUUUGUGCAAGAGCCAGGUGCAUUCAGAGACAGCAAGACCUCUCCAUGCUCACCCACUCCACCACUGUCAAAUCAGUGGUUCUGACCCUUAAGAGAUCUCAGGAAAGAUGCUGAGGACUGGUGUGAUAGUGUUCUGCAAACAUCCCUGGGCCUACACAAGAAAAUAUCCUGGGUUUCUUUGGCAUUCUUCAGUCAUUUCAAUUUAUUGUAGGAAAAGUCCGUUAAUUUGCAAAAGUCAGUUAACUUAUAAAUAAGUUCAAAAGAGCCAGUUCCAUAAUUCAACUCUGUAGAUAACCAGACCCAGACUGUCCCCCAAAUCUUCCCUUGCCCUGGGAAGAACAGAGGAAAGUGUAUAAUGUAAGCAGUGGUCUGCCACAGACUAGUGACCAACCCUGACUUCAAAGAUGGAUUUCUUUGAAAGGUCAUUAUGUUCUUAAAGGUUGUUUCUACAUGACCUCAACAUUGUGAGCUAAAUAGUGGAAAAUUAAGCCAAAUCUCCUGAUUGCUCUAUCAUGAAAGUCCAAUUCUAAAGAUAGGCACGAGGCAUUCAGUUCAGGAAAAUUCCAUUUCAUUCAGCAAGGACUCCAUCAGCAAUUAGGGGUGCCCAUACUAUGCUAGUUCUACAAGCAGGACAGAAAACAGAAAACGUUUGUGUUCUGACCUCUACCCUCCAGCUUCUUCUAAUUUGGUUGCUGUAAUAAAGUAUAAUGUUACAUGGGGAGGGGGGUGGCG